rnacentral:rRNA from 1 species
GCUAGGAUGAACGCUAGCACAGGCUAACACAUGACAAGCGGAGGGCAGCGAUAAAGUAGCAAUACUUGGUGGCGACCGGCGCACGGGUGAGUAACGCGUAUGCAACCUACCUAUCAGAGGGGAAUAACCCGGCGAAAGUCGGACUAAUACCGCAUAAAACAGGGGCACCGCAUGGUGAUAUUUGUUAAAGAAAUUCGCUGGUAGAUGGGCAUGCGUUCCAUUAGGUAGUUGGUGAGGUAACGGCUCACCAAGCCGACGAUGGAUAGGGGAACGUGAGAGGUUGGUCCCCACCACUGGUACUGAGACACGGACCAGACUCCUACGGGAGGCAGCAGUGAGGAAUAUUGGUCAAUGGGCGGGAGCCUGAACCAGCCAAGUCGCGUGAAGGAAGAAAAGGGAUCUAUGGUUCGUAAACUUCUUUUAGCUAGGGGAAUAAAGGUGACAGGACGGUGUCCUGCUUUUGUAUGUACCCUGAGAAUAAGGAUCGGCUAACUCCGUGCCAGCAGCUGC